GGUGAACGCUGGCGGUAGGCCUAACACAUGCAAGUCGAACGGCAGCACAGUAAGAGCUUGCUCUUACGGGUGGCGAGUGGCGGACGGGUGAGGAAUACAUCGGAAUCUACUUUUUCGUGGGGGAUAACGUAGGGAAACUUACGCUAAUACCGCAUACGACCUACGGGUGAAAGCAGGGGAUCUUCGGACCUUGCGCGAUUGAAUGAGCCGAUGUCGGAUUAGCUAGUUGGCGGGGUAAAGGCCCACCAAGGCGACGAUCCGUAGCUGGUCUGAGAGGAUGAUCAGCCACGCUGGAACUGAGACACGGUCCAGACUCCUACGGGAGGCAGCAGUGGGGAAUAUUGGACAAUGGGCGCAAGCCUGAUCCAGCCAUACCGCGUGGGUGAAGAAGGCCUUCGGGUUGUAAAGCCCUUUUGUUGGGAAAGAAAAGCAGCAGGUUAAUACCCCGCUGUUCUGACGGUACCCAAAGAAUAAGCACCGGCUAACUUCGUG
rnacentral:rRNA from 1 species